GGAAUAUUCCACAAUGGGGGGAACCCUGAUGGAGCGACGCCGCGUGAGUGAAGAAGGGCUUCGGCUCGUAAAGCUCUUUUGCCUUUGACGAAUGGUUUAUUAGAUAGGCAGAGACGGUAAAGGGCGAAUAAGCCACGGCUAACUACGUGCCAGCAGCCGCGGUAAUACGUAGGUGGCAAGCGUUAUCCGGAUUUAUUGGGCGUAAAGCGAGCGCAGGCGGUUUGAUAAGUCUGAUGUGAAAGCCUUUGGCUUAACCAAAGAAGUGCAUCGGAAACUGUCAGACUUGAGUGCAGAAGAGGACAGUGGAACUCCAUGUGUAGCGGUGGAAUGCGUAGAUAUAUGGAAGAACACCAGUGGCGAAGGCGGCUGUCUGGUCUGCAACUGACGCUGAGGCUCGAAAGCAUGGGUAGCGAACA
rnacentral:rRNA from 1 species